CAAUCUAGUACGAAAUCACCAAGAAGAUAAAUAUGUAUUAGUUGGCAUACAUAUUUCUGGAUAGCUUUAGUUCCCCUCUUUGUAAGCUUGGUGAAGUACUGCGUAACUGCUUCUUUAUUGGUAGAGAGAUCCUGUAAGAGCAAUGGCCAUUGGAUUGAAGAUGCAUAGCUUUUGUCGCGUUGGAUUCCAUCAGCUUUGUGAAUCCUGCUUCAGAUGCAGCAGUCUGCGGCAUGAGAAGGCUUUUAUGUGAGUCGUGUUUCUGUUCCU